rnacentral:rRNA from 1 species
GUGUCAGCAGCCGCGGUAAUACAGAGGGCGCGAGCGUUGUUCGGAAUCACUGGGCGUAAAGCGCGCGCAGGCGGGACGACAAGUCGGAAGUGAAAUCCCGGGGCUCAACUCCGGGGCUGCUUCGGAAACUGUCGACCUGGGGACCGGUAGAGGCCGGUGGAAUUCCCGGUGUAGCGGUGGAAUGCGUAGAGAUCGGGAAGAACACCCGUGGCGAAGGCGGCCGGCUGGGCCGGAUCCGACGCUGAGGCGCGAAAGCGUGGGGAGCAAACAGGAUUAGAAACCCUGGUAGUCC